UAGGCUGUGUGUAGAGAGGUUGCUGUUGGCUCAGUGCAUUUAGUAGGCUGUGUGUAGAGAGGUUGCUGUUGGCUCAGUGCAUUUAGUAGGCUGUGUAGAGAGGUUGCUGUUGGCUCAGUGCAUUUAGUAGGCUGUGUAGAGAGGUUGCUGUUGGAUCAGUGCAUUUAGUAGGCUGUGUAGAGAGGUUGCUUUUGGAUCAGUGCAUUUAGUAGGCUGUGUAGAGAGGUUGCUGUUGGAUCAGUUGCUGGUGUAUCAGUGCAUUUAGUAGGCUGUGUAGAGAGGUUGCUGUUGGAUCAGUGCAUUUAGUAGGCUGUGUAGAGAGGUUGCUGUUGGCUCAGUGCAUUUAGUAGGCUGUGUAGAGAGGUUGCUGUUGGCUCAGUGCAUUUAGUAGGCUGUGUGUAGAGAGGUUGCUGUUGGAUCAGUGCAUUUAGUAGGCUGUGUAGAGAGGUUGCUGUUGGAUCAGUGCAUUUAGUAGGCUGUGUAGAGAGGUUGCUGUUGGAUCAGUGCAUUUAGUAGGCUGUGUAGAGAGGUUGCUGUUGGAUCAGUGCAUUUAGUAGGCUGUGUAGAGAGGUUGCUGUUGGCUCAGUGCAUUUAGUAGGCUGUGUAGAGAGGUUGCUGUUGGCUCAGUGCAUUUAGUAGGCUGUGUGUAGAGAGGUUGCUGUUGGAUCAGUGCAUUUAGUAGGCUGUGUAGAGAGGUUGCUGUUGGAUCAGUGCAUUUAGUAGGCUGUGUAGAGAGGUUGCUGUUGGCUCAGUGCAUUUAGUAGGCUGUGUAGAGAGGUUGCUGUUGGAUCAGUGCAUUUAGUAGGCUGUGUAGAGAGGUUGCUUUUGGAUCAGUGCAUUUAGUAGGCUGUGUAGAGAGGUUGCUGUUGGAUCAGUUGCUGGUGUAUCAGUGCAUUUAGUAGGCUGUGUAGAGAGGUUGCUGUUGGAUCAGUGCAUUUAGUAGGCUGUGUAGAGAGGUUGCUGUUGGAUCAGUGCAUUUAGUAGGCUGUGUAGAGAGGUUGCUGUUGGAUCAGUGCAUUUAGUAGGCUGUGUAGAGAGGUUGCUGUUGGCUCAGUGCAUUUAGUAGGCUGUGUAGAGAGGUUGCUGUUGGCUCAGUGCAUUUAGUAGGCUGUGUGUAGAGAGGUUGCUGUUGGCUCAGUGCAUUUAGUAGGCUGUGUGUAGAGAGGUUGCUGUUGGCUCAGUGCAUUUAGUAGGCUGUGUAGAGAGGUUGCUGUUGGCUCAGUGCAUUUAGUAGGCUGUGUAGAGAGGUUGCUGUUGGAUCAGUGCAUUUAGUAGGCUGUGUAGAGAGGUUGCUUUUGGAUCAGUGCAUUUAGUAGGCUGUGUAGAGAGGUUGCUGUUGGAUCAGUUGCUGGUGUAUCAGUGCAUUUAGUAGGCUGUGUAGAGAGGUUGCUGUUGGAUCAGUGCAUUUAGUAGGCUGUGUAGAGAGGUUGCUGUUGGCUCAGUGCAUUUAGUAGGCUGUGUAGAGAGGUUGCUGUUGGCUCAGUGCAUUUAGUAGGCUGUGUAGAGAGGUUGCUGUUGGCUCAGUGCAUUUAGUAGGCUGUGUGUAGAGAGGUUGCUGUUGGAUCAGUGCAUUUAGUAGGCUGUGUAGAGAGGUUGCUGUUGGAUCAGUGCAUU